rnacentral:lncRNA from 1 species
GAACUGCUGUGGGCCAGCCAGUGGGUGCAGAAGGUCUUAUACCCCUGCAGUUGGAGCAGGAAGGAGAACUCGUGAAUGAGUGAGGUUCGCAGUCCUGGAAUACGUGCACUCCAGAGGCAUUUAAUGAAAGUUAUGAUGAAUGUUUUUGACGAGAAAAGAAUGAAAUGAGAGACCAUCCUGAACCUGGAGACUGAAACAAAGAAGGUUUGUCUAGUCUUUGUGUGAGCGAAUCCUAACCCACAAACUCAGGCAGGUAUACAGAAAUGUAA